rnacentral:rRNA from 1 species
CCCAGACUCCUACGGGAGGCAGCAGUGGGGAAUAUUGCACAAUGGGGGAAACCUGAUGCAGCGACGCCGCGUGGAGGAAGAAGGUCUUCGGAUUGUAAACUCCUGUUGUUGAGGAAGAUAAUGACGGUACUCAACAAGGAAGUGACGGCUAACUACGUGCCAGCAGCCGCGGUAAAACGUAGGUCACAAGCGUUGUCCGGAAUUACUGGGUGUAAAGGGAGCGCAGGCGGGAAGACAAGUUGGAAGUGAAAUCCAUGGGCUCAACCCAUGAACUGCUUUCAAAACUGUUUUUCUUGAGUAGUGCAGAGGUAGGCGGAAUUCCCGGUGUAGCGGUGGAAUGCGUAGAUAUCGGGAGGAACACCAGUGGCGAAGGCGGCCUACUGGGCACCAACUGACGCUGAGGCUCGAAAGUGUGGGUAGCAAACAGGAUUAGAUACCCUGGUAGUCCACACUGUAAACGAUGAUUACUAGGUGUUGGAGGAUUGACCCCUUCAGUGCCGCAGUUAACACAAUAAGUAAUCCACCUGGGGAGUACGACCGCAAGGUUGAAACUCAAAGGAAUUGACGGGGGCCCGCACAAGCAGUGGAGUAUGUGGUUUAAUUCGACGCAACGCGAAGAACCUUACCAAGUCUUGACAUCCUGCGACGNNNNUNGAAANAUNNNUUUCCUUCGGGACGCAGAGACAGGUGGUGCAUGGUUGUCGUCAGCUCGUGUCGUGAGAUGUUGGGUUAAGUCCCGCAACGAGCGCAACCCUUAUGGUCAGUUACUACGCAAGAGGACUCUGGCCAGACUGCCGUUGACAAAACGGAGGAAGGUGGGGAUGACGUCAAAUCAUCAUGCCCUUUAUGACUUGGGCUACACACGUACUACAAUGGCGUUAAACAAAGAGAAGCAAGACCGCGAGGUGGAGCAAAACUCAGAAACAACGUCCCAGUUCGGACUGCAGGCUGCAACUCGCCUGCACGAAGUCGGAAUUGCUAGUAAUCGCAGAUCAG